rnacentral:rRNA from 1 species
UACGGAGGAUGCGAGCGUUAUCCGGAAUCAUUGGGCGUAAAGCGUCCGCAGGUGGCCUAUCAAGUCUGCUGUCAAAGCGCAGAGCUCAACUCUGUAAAGGCAGUGGAAACUGAUAAGCUAGAGUUCGGUAGGGGUAGCGGGAAUUCCCAGUGUAGCGGUGAAAUGCGUAGAUAUUGGGAAGAACAUCGGUGGCGAAGGCGCGCUACUGGGCCGAAACUGACACUGAGGGACGAAAGCUAGGGGAGCGAAAGGG